CACAAACACACACAUGGUACAACUUGGCACAGGCAAUAUCAUGGUAAAUUUCAAGACAAAACUAACUCUACACCUACCGUACGACCAAGAAGCCUUGGUAAACGCUGUAAAUUAUUCAUAACAAACUAUAUAUUUGCUAAAAUAAUUUUAUUUCAACGUUUAAAAUACAACUGCCAGUCCACGUCGAAGUGAUCCACAAUAG